CCAAAUUGGAGUAGUUUCCAUCGAUUGUCUCUGAAAGAUAAUCCUGUGUGAUUAUCUGGUAGUUUGAGGUGUGUUAAGAGUGAUUUUUUCUCCUCGAUCUGCUCAGUUCGUGGUCGGUCUGACAAACGUAGAAAUUAGAGUCGUUCAUUAUUUUGGGUGGAAAAUCCUGAAUUGUAUGGUCAACAUCAAGUCGGGUCAAGCCACAGUCUUUACGAUUGUGGUGUGAAACGUAACGAUACCCCAUUCGGAAGGGACCUGAAGGUCGUGCUGCCCAGCACUUAAGCAACUGAUUGUGUUGCAUAUAUCAGUCUGGUGUCACAUUUGAGGCCCAUGCACCACAUCCGGCUCUCUAGUUCAUUUUAUAUGACCAGUGAAAGUUUCCCACAAUUAUUCUUUGACUUGUGUUCAAAACUAGCUAUAAAAAUGAUAAUGAUCAAAUGGGCAGGGUCCCACAUGGUACAUAUUAGGUGAGGGGGGAAAAAAGCAUAACUGUGUCGUGGUGUAGCCACGCGCCCUGUCCCUAAAUCAGGAGUUACCAAAUUUUCUGAAACUAAGAUUCACUUGGUUACUGCUUUAAACCAAGGACCAACAAACUUAACCGUCAUUCUUGCCAUACUGUUGCACCUCUAGUGAUCAUCAGGGCAAUAAUAGUUGUGUAUUUUUAAUUGUUAGUAGUUUUUAAAUUCAGUUAGUAUUCAGUAGGUUUUGGACCAGGCGUGUCAGUUUUUUCAAAAAAAUGCUUUGUAUUAAUGUUAUUUUUAUUAGUUUUAUUAUUGGUUUUAGUUUUUUUGAAGUCUACGGAUUAUUUAUUAAAUACAAUCUCAGAAAAAAGGUCACAAAGUGUAAUGAAGUAAACUACACUUCUAAACAACUGUUUAACCUCCUUUCUUCGGUAUGGAUGUUUAGCAAUUCGAAAUCAAUACAUUUAAAAUGGACCAUGAACGUUCAUGCAUGAUAUUAAUUGACAAACGCCAUUUUUGCUGUAAUUAUCGCUUCGUGUGUAUGUAGCUGUGUGCGUGCACACCCCACUUUACACCUUCUACUGUGAUUUGCAAAGAGCCCUUUUAAAUCCAAUCCAAGCAGAAUAUGAUACGAAUAUGUCCGGAACACGUGCAUCCUUUGGAGUAAAAGGUCCAGUGCGGUGUCGCUCAUCUGGACCCCAUCAGGUUGCAUGUCCGCAGGCGAUCAGACUGGCAUCCCUGUACCAGGCCUGCUCCUUUAUUAAAGCCUCAGCCUCCUGUGACCCGGCACACACAGAGUGGGCCUCGGGGUACGCUCACACAUGGUUCCCAUAGGUCAUUUGGCUUGUUUGUGACUUGCGCGUUUGAUUCUCUCGCAGACCACAUGUGGAUUGGGAGUCGAAGAAACAAGGCGCAAGGGGCCGUUCCCCACAAAACAUCUGCUUAAUGAUAGCGUACCCAAGGGGAGGGGCGAGCGCUGAGGGGGCUCGGCAAAAGUCGAGACACACGACUAGAACAAGCCCGCCUUGCAUGUUUUUAGAAUGUGGGAAGAAAUCGGAGCACCCGGAGAAAACCCACGCAGGCAUGGGGAGAACAUGCAAAGUCCACACAAGGAGGCCAUAGCCGGGAUUUGGAGGACAACACACGUGUGCUGACGUGGAGAAGAAUUUGCUCCUUGGCCUCUCCAGAAAUCCUGCAAAACUUCCUUCAGGUAAGGACAUGGUACCAGAAUUCCUCACAUCCAAGACUUGACAAAGAGGAAGAGGAAGAGGAAGGCUCAAUGUGUGCCCCCACUGGACCCGCUGCCUCAGUACC